GCUGCUCUUUCAUGCUUCCCUACCAUGAUGGGCUGAGCCUUCUGAAACCAUGAGCUCAAAGAAAUCCUCUUUCUUCAUGUUUUCAUAGGUGCCUGCUGUCUUCAAAAUGGCAUCCAAUCCCAUGGUAAGGAACCUUCAGAAAAUUCUAUCACUUUGUCACUACAUUUCUUCUUUUGCCCCUGAGAUCACAAUUUCGGAACGUUGCUUUGAGGAAAACCAUGCAACAACAGACAACAGCAACAAGAACCAAAACAGAACCUGGUCUAACAAACAUUCUGUAGCUCAUGCAUCAUUAUUAUUCAGUAAAGUUGCUGAAUUUACAAUAUCUGUGAUGGGAUGUGAUGACUGCACUGCCCAAAAUGUACUUCAGGUUCCUUGG